UCUUUGCUUAGGCUGAGCUCCUCUCUGUUUAGCUGCUGCUCUCUGCUCACAGAGGAUGAGCUUAAGUACUUGGCUGAAGCAGAAGCUUAUGAGCCAAAAAGGAGCUGGAAACAUCUUCACAAAAUGCACUGAAUGCACCAGAAAACCUAUCAAGAGCUGGAAAAAAGACUUUAGACAUUUACAGAGCCACAAGAUCCUUAUGUGCUGCUUGGCUUUGGAUGAUCUCAUCAUGAAGAAACAAGAAGAUAGAAUAGAAAAGUGAAAAAUGUUUGCAUAGUAACAAUUCUCAUCCUCCCUGAGCACAAAAGCUGUACUCCCUUGUCCUAAGAGAAACUGAGCUCUGCAGAACCUGAGUGAGAGCUGGCUGUUAAGGAAAACCAUUGCUGGAUUCCAUAAGUUACAUCAUAGUCCAUGUCCCAUCAACUUAAAAAGACCAGUAUAAUAGAUCACCUAAUUUCUUCUGUGUUGACUUUGGAAUUGAGUGACUUCUGUACAGACCAGCAAUAAAUUCUAAGACAAGGAA